AAAAGGAGACUGAAGCUGUGCUAGCCAUUCUUUCCCUUUUUGCUCUCCACAUACCUCAUCUGGGAACCUUUAUAUAAAUAUACAGCAUUUAUAUCAUCUUAUAUUGGUAAUUAUAAAGUGACCUAGGAGGCUAGGAGAGCUGACCAACAGAGAAGGGAAAGCAUUCUGUUCUGACUAUAGUGACAUAAGGAGUUCAGUUCACACCAAACAUCUUUCCAGCAUGUCUCUCCCAUUUAGUAACAUCCUAGCACUUAAAGCCUCUUAACAUAAGCCCAGUACUAGCUCUUUCUCUUUGUAUUUCACCUCUCUCUGCACUAUCUUCUGUUCUAUGUUCCUA
rnacentral:lncRNA from 1 species